GACGAACGCUGGCGGCGUGCUUAACACAUGCAAGUCGAACGGAAAGGCCCUGCUUUUGUGGGGCUCUCGUGUGGCGAACGGGUGAGUAACACGUGAGUAACCUGCCCUUGACUGUGGGAUAACUUCAGGAAACUGGGGCUAUUACCGGAUAGGAUCUCCUGCUGCUUGGUGGUCGUUGGUAAGUUUCGGCGGUUGGGGAUGUACUGGCGGCUUAUCAGCUUGUUGGUGGGGUAGUGGCUGACCAAGGCUUUGACGGCUAGCCGGCCUGAGAGGGUGACCGGCCACAUGAGGACUGGGAUACGGACCAGACUCCAACGGGAGGCAACGGUGGAGAGUCUUACACAGUAAGCGGGAGCCUGAUGUAGCAACGCCGCGAGCGGGAAGCGGUGCUUCGGGUUGUGAACAGAUUUCGCAUUAGACGAGGCGAGAGUGACGGUAACGGGUAAAGAAGCACCGGCUAACUACGUG
rnacentral:rRNA from 1 species